CGUUGAAACACAGGUUUGCGUACGAUCACCGAAGUUAAGGAAUGUAGAACCUUGUCAGUACCUAGAUGGGUGACCGCUUGGGAAUACCAGGUGCUGUAA